rnacentral:rRNA from 1 species
AACCGUGUACGUACAAGCAGUGGGAGCACAGGUUUACCUGUGUGACUGCGUACCUUUUGUAUAAUGGGUCAGCGACUUAUAUUCUGUAGCAAGGUUAACCGUAUAGGGGAGCCGGAGGGAAACCGAGUCUUAAUUGGGCGUUAAGUUGCAGGGUAUAGACCCGAAACCCGGUGAUCUAGCCAUGGGCAGGUUGAAGGUUGGGUAACACUAACUGGAGGACCGAACCGACUAAUGUUGAAAAAUUAGCGGAUGACCUGUGGCUGGGGGUGAAAGGCCAAUCAAACCGGGAGAUAGCUGGUUCUCCCCGAAAGCUAUUUAGGUAGCGCCUCGUGAAUUCAUCUCCGGGGGUAGAGCACUGUUUCGGCUAGGGGGCCAUCCCGGCUUACCAACCCGAUGCAAACUGCGAAUACCGGAGAAUGUUAUCACGGGAGACACACGGCGGGUGCUAACGUCCGUCGUGAAGAGGGAAACAACCCAGACCGCCAGCUAAGGUCCCAAAGUCAUGGUUAAGUGGGAAACGAUGUGGGAAGGCCCAGACAGCCAGGAUGUUGGCUUAGAAGCAGCCAUCAUUUAAAGAAAGCGUAAUAGCUCACUGGUCGAGUCGGCCUGCGCGGAAGAUGUAACGGGGCUAAACCAUGCACCGAAGCUGCGGCAGCGAACGUAUCACUUAAAGCGAUUCAGCGGGUUACGAUUGACGGAGCGAAGCGACGUCAAAGCGUAUACAAAGUCGAGUCGGUUUAAGGAUACGUUCGUUGGGUAGGGGAGCGUUCUGUAAGCCUGUGAAGGUGGCCUGUGAGGGUUGCUGGAGGUAUCAGAAGUGCGAAUGCUGACAUAAGUAACGAUAAAGCGGGUGAAAAGCCCGCUCGCCGGAAGACCAAGGGUUCCUGUCCAACGUUAAUCGGGGCAGGGUGAGUCGACCCCUAAGGCGAGGCCGAAAGGCGUAGUCGAUGGGAAACGGGUUAAUAUUCCCGUACUUGGUGUUACUGCGAAGGGGGGACGGAGAAGGCUAUGUUGGCCGGGCGACGGUUGUCCCGGUUUAAGCGUGUAGGUGUGUGUUCCAGGUAAAUCCGGUUCACUUUAACACUGAGGCGUGACGACGAGGCACUACGGUGCUGAAGCAACAAAUGCCCUGCUUCCAGGAAAAGCCUCUAAGCAUCAGGUAACAUCAAAUCGUACCCCAAACCGACACAGGUGGU